AUUCCCUGUGUGUGGUGACCAGGACAGACGCAGUCCAGGGCGGGGACAGAGAGAGACCGGCAGUCCCAGCUGAACCUUUCUUAUCCGGCACCACCGAGCUGACUGGCGGAAUAACUGCUGUCCUUUGCCUCUUGCCAAGCACUGUUAUGGGCCCCGGUGUCGGCCCGGGCGCUGAGAGCUGCGUGUAUUCGACCCCAAGCCUGUUUAAGCCAGGCGCUCCUCCACACACCCUCAGCCUUCCUGCAGCGGGAACCCCAGGGUGCGCUGAGCCAACUGUAACCACGGAGCUGGAAUCCACGUUCCAGGACAGGGCAGAACAAGAUGCGGGGAGCUUGCAUCCCUGAGUGAUCGCAUGGAGCAGGGCUGCCCGGGAGUCCACAAACCUGGGGAGUCUCCUGGUUUCUGCAGCUGAAGCAGGGGUGCAAAACUACUGAUCCACAGGGCCUACCACCUGUCUUUGUAAAUAAAGUUUUAUUGGCACAUGGCCACGCUGGCUUA